GUGAAUCAUCGAAUUUUUGAACGCAAGUUGCACUCUCUGGUAUUCCGGAGAGUAUGCCUGUUUGAGGGUCAGUUUAAAUAAAAAUCGGUGUGGUUGCUGCCUUUCGUGGUGACGCACCGGAUUUGGGUCGUCUUGCCUCCGGUUAAGUGACCUAAAAUUUUGCAUGAUUUUUUCCGAAGGAUUUAAAUUGUUUUAAGUACGGUUUGGGUAUUGAAUACU
rnacentral:misc_RNA from 1 species